GACGAACGCUGGCGGCGUGCUUAACACAUGCAAGUCGAACGGUGAAGGGGAGCUUGCUCCCCGGAUCAGUGGCGAACGGGUGAGUAACACGUGGGCAACCUGCCCCAGACUUCGGGAUAACGCUUCGAAAGAGGUGCUAAUACCGGAUACGAACUCCUUGGGCAUCCUUGGAGUUGGAAAGUUUUUCGGUCUGGGAUGGGCCCGCGGCCUAUCAGCUUGUUGGUGAGGUAACGGCUCACCAAGGCGACGACGGGUAGCCGGCCUGAGAGGGCGACCGGCCACACUGGGACGGAGACACGGCCCAGACUCCUACGGGAGGCAGCAGUGGGGAAUAUUGCGCAAUGGGCGAAAGCCUGACGCAGCAACGCCGCGUGAGGGAUGACGGCCUUCGGGUUGUAAACCUCUUUCAGCAGGGAAGAAGCGAAAGUGACGGUACCUGCAGAAGAAGCACCGGCUAACUACGUGCCAGCCGCCGCAGUAAUAC
rnacentral:rRNA from 1 species